CCUGGGCGUAAAGCGCAGGGCAGCCACAGGAACAGCAGGGGCUCGAGGCUGGUUUUUAGCAGGCUGACAAAGGACCCAGCAGCAAGAAGCGCUGGGAAGCCACUCCGGCAUCCUCCUGCAGGGAGCAGACGAAGCUUCCCGCCCAAGGGUCCCAGGAGCAACUCCCUGCGCUUGUGAGUGAACGGCUCAGUUGCAUCUCGGAUCAUGGAGCCGACAUGGGGCUGACCCCACUCCCUGGGCCCCAGAGUGAAGCUAGCGCCUCCAGGUCCUCCCGAGGCUCCGCACGCUCCUCCCUCCCCUACAACGGCCACUCCUGCCACAACUUGCAAGGCUGGUUUAGAGAAUUCCCUGCGUGUUUUGUUACUUUCUAAAAGAACAGGUUCACUGCACAGAUUCUACCUUCAUUAAUUCUGAAAAAGUGACUUGGGAAGGCCAGAAGAGCACAAUUCCCCUCUCAAGGAAUUCCAGACCACCUCUGGGGGAGGGGGAGAAGGGAAGCCCCCCAGCUGACUCCCAACCCCUUGCUCUUUCUCAAGCAAAUAUUUUCUAUUUACACAAACUCUCCUUAUCUGAGACAACUCCUGCUUUGACCUAGAGGU